GAUGAACGCUGGCGGCGUGCCUAAUACAUGCAAGUCGAGCGAAUGGAUUAAGAGCUUGCUCUUAUGAAGUUAGCGGCGGACGGGUGAGUAACACGUGGGUAACCUGCCCAUAAGACUGGGAUAACUCCGGGAAACCGGGGCUAAUACAGGAUAACAUUUUGAACCGCAUGGUUCGAAAUUGAAAGGCGGCUUCGGCUGUCACUUAUGGAUGGACCCGCGUCGCAUUAGCUAGUUGGUGAGGUAACGGCUCACCAAUGCAACGAUGCGUAGCCGACCUGAGAGGGUGAUCGGCCACACUGGGACUGAGACACGGCCCAGACUCCUACGGGAGGCAGCAGUAGGGAAUCUUCCGCAAUGGACGAAAGUCUGACGGAGCAACGCCGCGUGAGUGAUGAAAGCUUUCGGGUCGUAAAACUCUGUUGUUAGGGAAGAACAAGUGCUAGUUGAAUAAGCUGGCACCUUGACGGUACCUAACCAGAAAGCCACGGCUAACUACGUGCCAGCAGCCGCCGUAA
rnacentral:rRNA from 1 species